rnacentral:rRNA from 1 species
UACGUAGGGGGCAAGCGUUGUCCGGAUUUAUUGGGCGUAAAGAGCGUGUAGGCGGCCACACAGGUCUGCUGUGAAAACUCGAGGCUCAACCUCGAGCUGUCGGUGGAAACCGUGUGGCUAGAGUCCGGAAGAGGAGAGUGGAAUUCCCGGUGUAGCGGUGAAAUGCGCAGAUAUCAGGAGGAACACCAAUGGCGAAGGCAGCUCGCUGGGACGGUACUGACGCUGAGGCGCGAAAGCGUGGGGAGCAAACAGG